rnacentral:rRNA from 1 species
AACGAACGCUGGCGGCAUGCCUAACACAUGCAAGUCGAACGAGACCUUCGGGUCUAGUGGCGCACGGGUGCGUAACGCGUGGGAACCUGCCCUUAGGUUCGGAAUAACUCCCCGAAAGGGGUGCUAAUACCGGAUAAUGUCUUCGGACCAAAGAUUUAUCGCCUUUGGAUGGGCCCGCGUUUGAUUAGCUAGUUGGUAGGGUAAAAGCCUACCAAGGCGACGAUCCAUAGCUGGUCUGAGAGGAUGAUCAGCCACACUGGGACUGAGACACGGCCCAGACUCCUACGGGAGGGAGCAGUGGGGAAUAUUGGACAAGGGGGGAAAGCCUGAUAAAGCAAGGCCGGGGGAGGGAGGAAGGCCUUAGGGUGGUAAAGCUCUUUUACCCGGGAUGAUAAUGACAGUACCGGGAGAAGAAGCUCCGGCUAACUCCGUG